CCCUUAGAUGUUCUGGGCCGCACGCGUGCUACACUGAUGCAUUCAACGAGUCUAAAACCUGGUCUGAUAGGGCUGGGUAAUCUUUUGAAAGUGCAUCGUGAUUGGGAUAGAUGAUUGCAAUUCUUCAUCUUCAACGAGGAAUGCCUAGUAAACGCAAGUCAUCAGCUUGCAUUGAUUACGUCCCUGCCCUUUGUACACACCGCCCGUCGCUCCUACCGAUUGAAUGAUCCGAUGAAUACCAUGGAUUGAGAGUACGAAUAGGUUCGCUUAUUUCUGCUGCUCGAGAAGUGGAGUAAAUCUUAUCAUUUAGAGGAAGGAGAAGUCGUAACA
rnacentral:rRNA from 1 species